AGCUAUGGCUACGGCGUGGGAAGGUCUUCUGAUCUGAAUGACCCUGACAGGCUCAGGAGGAUUGCGGGAAGUGGGAGAGAAAGACGUGUGACUUACAGAGACGGGAACCGCAAAGUUUGGCUGUCACACUCAGGAUGCGUUUAUGGGAGCCCCUCCCACAAGAUACUGGAGUGCUAGGAUGUUCCCAAGCUUUUGUUCAGCUUACUGGAGUUUCCAGGCCAUUGAAAACUAGUGAUCCCGA